rnacentral:rRNA from 1 species
ACGCACGCUGGCGGCGUGCUUAACCCAUGCCAGUCGAACGGAAAGGCCCUGCUUUUGUGGGGUGCUCGAGUGGCGAACGGGUGAGUAACACGUGAGUAACCUGCCCUUGACUUUGGGAUAACUUCAGGAAACUGGGGCUAAUACCGGAUAGGAGCUCCUGCUGCAUGGUGGGGGUUGGAAAGUUUCGGCGGUUGGGGAUGGACUCGCGGCUUAUCAGCUUGUUGGUGGGGUAGUGGCUUACCAAGGCUUUGACGGGUAGCCGGCCUGAGAGGGUGACCGGCCACAUUGGGACUGAGAUACGGCCCAGACUCCUACGGGAGGCAGCAGUGGGGAAUAUUGCACAAUGGGCGGAAGCCUGAUGCAGCAACGCCGCGUGCGGGAUGACGGCCUUCGGGUUGUAAACCGCUUUCGCCUGUGACGAAGCGUGAGUGACGGUAAUGGGGAAAGAAGCACCGGCUAACUACGU